rnacentral:rRNA from 1 species
GCAAGCUUGAGUCUCGUAGAGGGGGGUAGAAUUCCAGGUGUAGCGGUGAAAUGCGUAGAGAUCUGGAGGAAUACCGGUGGCGAAGGCGGCCCCCUGGACGAAGACUGACGCUCAGGUGCGAAAGCGUGGGGAGCAAACAGGAUUAGAUACCCUGGUAGUCCACGCCGUAAACGAUGUCGACUUGGAGGUUGUGCCCUUGAGGCGUGGCUUCCGGAGCUAACGCGUUAAGUCGACCGCCUGGGGAGUACGGCCGCAAGGUUAAAACUCAAAUGAAUUGACGGGGGCCCGCACAAGCGGUGGAGCAUGUGGUUUAAUUCGAUGCAACGCGAAGAACCUUACCUGGUCUUGACAUCCACGGAAGUUUUCAGAGAUGAGAAUGUGCCUUCGGGAACCGUGAGACAGGUGCUGCAUGGCUGUCGUCAGCUCGUGUUGUGAAAUGUUGGGUUAAGUCCCGCAACGAGCGCAACCCUUAUCCUUUGUUGCCAGCGGUCCGGCCGGGAACUCAAAGGAGACUGCCAGUGAUAAACUGGAGGAAGGUGGGGACGACGUCAAGUCAUCAUGGCCCUUACGACCAGGGCUACACACGUGCUACAAUGGCGCAUACAAAGAGAAGCGACCUCGC